CUCCUCCAGCACUAAUAGAGAGAGCGAGCGAGCGAGAGAUAGUAGAGCUCUGUUUCUGCUCCUUCUUCUUCUACUACUUCUACGAUUCUGUCACAGCAGAGCUUGUGAAGAUCGGAAAAUGUGAAGGUGUUGUUGGGUGGGUAUUGAGGGAUUAUUGUCCGAGAUUACGAUGAUGACGGUACUGGCGUGGGGGCAUUAUUGUUGUUGUUGUUGUUGUUGAAGAUUUUGGUAGUGUUUGCGGUGAGAGGCUACUGCAGCUGCGUUGGGAAUUUGAAUGUUGGGUUGUAGAGAUUGGAAUCAUGGUUCGACGAGGCGGUGAAUAGUGAAGGAGAGCAAGGAGGAGGAGGACGCGGAGGAAAAUGGCAGGUGUGAGUGGGGGAAUGGAGGGUGGAAAUGGGGCGACAGGGGAUGGGGUCUUUGAUGCACAGCAGGUUGCGGAUGUGAAGGCAUGGCUGCGGGGAGCAUUUGAAGCUGUGGGGAAAGAAGUUCCGGAAUUCGAGUACACGCCGCGCACUGUGGCACAUCUUCAUAACCUUGCCGUUCUUUCCCAACACCGCACCCAGUCUGCCACCAUUGUGGCCGCGGAUCUGCGGCAACGGGCCGCCGAGUUUCGCAGUCAAGCUGCCAGGAUCCGUGAAACUCUCGAGUGCACGGGGCUUUCGCAAGAGAACCUUUCGCAAACUGGGGUUAUGUCAGCAAAUACACUUGCAAAUGUUGCCAACCUGCUUGACCUCAAGGAUACUGAAACAACUAGCUACCUUAUGGCUAUAACUGAGCUCUCACUAAAGAAGACCGAGUUAGAGGAGACAAGAUCGAAGGCCCAAAGGGAAUCCAAAAUGCUCUUAGAUUACACUCGGAAAGCCAUUGCCCGACUGACCUACCUGAAAAGGGCUCUUGGUCAGCUUGAGGAGGAGGUGGCUCUCCGGGAGGGGCCAAUGAUGCAAUGGAACACUAACCUCAAAAUGAUGGCCUCGAAAGAACGUCAAUACUUGCAGCAGCUUGCUAACUACAAGUCUUUAUUAAGGCGACUUGGUUACACGAGAGAUAUAAGCCAUGGCGUGUUGAUGGCCAUGGUGGAGCAUCGUCAUGAAUUAGAGGCUAAGACGAAGCCCAUUCUUGAUACCCUUCGCAGCUACCAAGACCUGCCUCCUGACAAGGCGUUGGCCGGACUUGCCAUUGAAGACAAAAGGCGAGAAUAUGAGGCUGCUGAGAAAUACUUGGAAGAUGCCUUACAUUCAGCUCUUCAUACUCCUGAGGAGUGAUUAUAUUAUGCUAGAAACUAUGCGCCUCAAAUAUGAACAUCAAGAAUUUUAGUAGACGUCUCUGAUUGCUGGAGGUCUUGAAAUGAAUUACGUUCAUGGGAGGUAUACCCAGCAGGAUUAGAGAGAGCAUGUGUGUCUAGAGACAACCGCAGCGAGGUAGCGGAAUCAUAACAUUCUCACACUUGAGUUCAUGCGCAUGUCAUUUACACAUUUCAUUUGCAGAUACUUCAGGCAACCACAAAAUAGGAAGGAAAUGGCCGCAAUUACGCGAAACUCACACCAUCCGUCACGGAUAAGGUGUUUGCUGUCUUCAUCGUUAACUUCUGGUGAAGCUUUCAAGUUGAAGACGCUUUUGAUCGUGAAGGUAUAUGCUAUGUAUAUUAAAUAUGCUCCUGCUCAAAAUGGACCAGCUGAAGUAUUGGAAAGGUUUUCAUCUGACAUGCCUGAUAUCAGCUGGACAAAAGUAUUGGACUUCAAUAUGAAGACUCCUGUCCUCUUGGUUGUCCACAUUCUCAGUGUGGUCCUACUCUUGUUUUGUGGCUUAGUUGAUGACCCUUAGGCAAAUAAUGCAAGAGGGGCCGUGUCCUUCAAUAUGAUGACAUGGUUGUGACUGCCUCAUCAGUUACUUUUACUCUGGA